GCUGGGUGUGGUGGCACAUGCCUGUAGUCCCAGCUACUCAGGAGGCUGAGGCAGGAGGAUCACUUGAGCCCAGGAGUUUGAGGCUGUGGGGAGUUAUGAUUGCACCACUGUACUUCAGCCUGGGCAACAGAGUGAAACCCUAUCUCUU
ensembl:misc_RNA Metazoa_SRP Metazoan signal recognition particle RNA